AAGUACCCCGAGGAAAAGAAAUCAACCGAGAUUCCCCCAGUAGCGGCGAGCGAACGGGGAGGAGCCCAGAACCUGAAUCGGCUUGUGUGUUAGUGGAAGCGUCUGGAAAGUCGCGCAGCAAAGGGUGAUAGCCCCGUACACUAAAAUGCACAGGUCGUGAGUUCGAUGAGUAGGGCGGGACACGUGACAUCCUGUCUGAAUAUGGGGGGACCAUCCUCCAAGGCUAAAUACUCCUGACUGACCGAUAGUGAACCAGUACCGUGAGGGAAAGGCGAAAAGAACCCCGGCGAGGGGAGUGAAAUAGAACCUGAAACCGUGUACGUACAAGCAGUGGGAGCACCUUCGUGGUGUGACUGCGUACCUUUUGUAUAAUGGGUCAGCGACUUAUAUUUUGUAGCAAGGUUAACCGUAUAGGGGAGCCGUAGGGAAACCGAGUCUUAACUGGGCGACUAGUUGCAAGGUAUAGACCCGAAACCCGGUGAUCUAGCCAUGGGCAGGUUGAAGGUUGGGUAACACUAACUGGAGGACCGAACCGACUAAUGUUGAAAAAUUAGCGGAUGACUUGUGGCUGGGGGUGAAAGGCCAAUCAAACCGGGAGAUAGCUGGUUCUCCCCGAAAGCUAUUUAGGUAGCGCCUCGUGAACUCAUCUUCGGGGGUAGAGCACUGUUUCGGCUAGGGGGCCAUCCCGGCUUACCAAACCGAUGCAAACUCCGAAUACCGAAGAAUGUUAUCACGGGAGACACACGGCGGGUGCUAACGUCCGUCGUGAAGAGGGAAACAACCCAGACCGCCAGCUAAGGUCCCAAAGUCAUGGUUAAGUGGGAAACGAUGUGGGAAGGCAUAGACAGCCAGGAUGUUGGCUUAGAAGCAGCCAUCAUUUAAAGAAAGCGUAAUAGCUCACUGGUCGAGUCGGCCUGCGCGGAAGAUGUAACGGGGCUAAACCAUGCACCGAAGCUGCGGCAGCGACGCUUAGGCGUUGUUGGGUAGGGGAGCGUUCUGUAAGCCGUUGAAGGUGGCCUGUGAGGGUUGCUGGAGGUAUCAGAAGUGCGAAUGCUGACAUAAGUAACGAUAAAGCGGGUGAAAAGCCCGCUCGCCGGAAGACCAAGGGUUCCUGUCCAACGUUAAUCGGGGCAGGGUGAGUCGACCCCUAAGGCGAGGCUGAAAAGCGUAGUCGAUGGGAAACAGGUUAAUAUUCCUGUACUUGGUGUUACUGCGAAGGGGGGACGGAGAAGGCUAGGCUGGCCGGGCGACGGUUGUCCCGGUUUAAGCGUGUAGGGGGUGUGACCUGGUAAAUCCGGUUGCAUGUUAACCCUGAGGCGUGAUGACGAUGCACUACGGUGCAGAAGUAGUUGAUGCCCUGCUUCCAGGAAAAUCCUCUAAGCUCCAGGUAACAUUAAAUCGUACCCCAAACCGACACAGGUGGUCAGGUAGAGAAUACCAAGGCGCUUGAGAGAACUCGGGUGAAGGAACUAGGCAAAAUGGUGCCGUAACUUCGGGAGAAGGCACGCUGGCAUGUAGGUGAAGUCCCUUGCGGAUGGAGCUGAAGCCAGUCGAAGAUACCAGCUGGCUGCAACUGUUUAAUAAAAACACAGCACUGUGCAAACACGAAAGUGGACGUAUACGGUGUGACGCCUGCCCGGUGCUGGAAGGUUAAUUGAUGGGGUCAGCCGCAAGGCGAAGCUCUUGAUCGAAGCCCCAGUAAACGGCGGCCGUAACUAUAACGGUCCUAAGGUAGCGAAAUUCCUUGUCGGGUAAGUUCCGACCUGCACGAAUGGCGUAAUGAUGGCCAGGCUGUCUCCACCCGAGACUCAGUGAAAUUGAACUCGCUGUGAAGAUGCAGUGUACCCGCGGCAAGACGGAAAGACCCCGUGAACCUUUACUAUAGCUUGACACUGAACAUUGAGCCUUGAUGUGUAGGAUAGGUGGGAGGCUUUGAAGCGUGGACGCCAGUCUGCGUGGAGCCAUCCUUGAAAUACCACCCUUUAAUGU
rnacentral:rRNA from 1 species